GUACCGAAAUGUCGUUAUAAAUACAUAAAAUCGCGAAAGUUUGCCUUUAAUUCCAAUAAAUAAGUGACAUAAUAAAUAUAAACCUUAAAAUUCCAUACUCGUAGCCUUAUCACCUACGUUACUAUAUGACGUCAUUGAAAUCACAAAAUAGUUCCUUAACGGCGCUACACAAAAACGUACUUAACGUAAUUAUUUCCUAUUAUUAAAUAUCCUACACAGUAAAAGGAAGGCCAGCAAGUAAUUUAAUCAUAUCUUAAUAAUACUUUUAUGUAUUAUUAUAACUUUAUAAAGAAGUACCGUUACCCGGAAGUGACCAUUCGUUGGAAUGGCAACUUCCAAUAUACGUAAACAAGCACUCGCCACG
rnacentral:lncRNA from 1 species